rnacentral:lncRNA from 1 species
AGGCUAAACAUACAGUCGAGUGAAAGUUUUUUUUAAAUUUUUUUUUUAUAGUAAGGAAAACAAGUAGUAGAUGUAGAAGAUGCAGGUUCCUUUGAAGCUCAAUUCUCACGUAAUUGUAAUCGCUCACGACCUCAAGUUCAUUUUCACCGCAUACAAGUAUGAACGUUUUACCUUUACAACGAUCAACGGUGCGCUCCACCGUGGGAUGAGGAGCAACCAGGUCUGGACCAGACAAUCCAGUGGUUGCAGCAUCUAAGUUAUGUAUAAAAUACGUAUUAAUGAUAAUUUAAAGGGAACCUGAUCCCAUUGCUGUAAAAGGUUUUGCGAAAACAUUUUUACACUGUUCACAUUGGUGUUGAACGUAAGCUCUGAUAUCUGACUUACAUUUGCCUUCAGUCUCAUGGAACUCCUCUUAGCCGCCGGAUCUUAUCUCCUCUUAGCCGCCGGAUCUUAUCUCCUCUUAGCCGCCGGAUCUUAUCUCCUCUUAGCCGCCGGAUCUCAUCUCUUUGCCGCCGGAUCUCCUCUCUUCGCCGCCGGAUCUCCUCUCCUCUCUUCGCCGAGGGAUCUCCGGGUUGGCAAACGGUGUGGACAUCAUCGACGACGACUGCGUCUGGUUAGCAACUGUGGCAGCCUGUGGUCCCUGGGGCGGCUGCACAAGCUUGGGGUCCCUGGGGCGGCUGCACAAGCUGGGGUCCCUUGGGCGGCUGCACAAGCUGGGGUCCCUGGGAAGCCUGUUGCAUCAAUCCUACCGAUCAGAAAAAGAGGACAAGGCUGCUAAUAGAAAAUCAUAAUGAUAAUAAUUUUGAAUUGCAUAGGAACGAAGCGGUAAACGACAAUCGUGAUAGUUCUGUGGAAGUAUCCGUGUUUUAUAGUGAGCCAUUAGGAAACAGCCAUAUAAUUUUCAAAGGGGGUGUGGGGGUGGAUUUGAUACCAUCAUUUUACUUUGUUUUGCAGUUAAAGUACUGUUUCAGUACAAAACUAAACACUGAUACGUCAAUACAAGAAAAGGGGCACCUAAAAUAUCAUUUAAAUAGGGGCUUGAUUAUGUGAAGGAGCAUGUCCGAAAAUAAUCCCGAGAUUGAGGACUUUCUCCUACUUCGAUCACGUUAAUGCCUCAAACUAAUUUUCAAGUGAUAUAUACGUGCCAAACUGACGGAGGUGUUCUAGUUGUACAUGGUCAUGACAAACCAAGUCGCUAAAACACGCCAAUAAACGUGCAAAACUAUGUGGUGUGUAUAUCUAUCUGCGCAUGCAACAUCAUAUUUUUCGAUUUUCGAUGAACGACGUUCGACUCGGCAGGGCUGUCAGCGUGAUUCCGACAACGAUGUAUUUGUCACACAAUAUAGUUUCACGAACACUUUCGAGGCGGAAGUUAAUUCCGAUUUUGAAACUUUACUUAAUUUGGAUUCAAAUGAACUUCCAAACUUUGAUGUUGGUAAAUGUGAGUUGAUUGAUCUCGAAGAGUUUCCUCAGGUUCUAACACUGAUCUGUACAAAGCAAGCCAAGCAAUUGAAUCUUACCUUCUUAAUUUGCUACCUUGUAACACUCGCUCGCUAUUAACUUCAUCAGAAAUACCUCAAUGACGUGACGCUUCUAAAUAUAGGGUAGAUUCAAGUUCAGCAAGGUUUGGCAAGCCAACAUCUGAUAAUGACAUUAAGAAGUGUGAUUCAGCAUACUUUUCGAAUACUGAAAACAAGAGUAUGUGGGCAGCUCGCUUGUGUCAAGGGUUGGUGAAGGAACGGCGUAAGAGGGGCAGAACAGAGGACAUGGUAUUGAACCCUGACAUUGUGUCACUGGCUCAGGAGGAAAGGGAGUCAUAUGAAACAUUGAUGUAUUUUAUGACUGAGGUCAGAAAUCAGAAGGGCGAGGAAUAUCGCGGAAACACUCUUUAUGAAAUUGACACAUCCCUACACUAUUAUAUCAGAAAGAACGGCACCCAACUGAAUUUUUUUCGAAUCUCCGAUGUUUCAAGGAUUAAGGUCCGUGCUAGAUGCGAGAAUGAAAUAUUUGGCAAGACAGGGAAUCGGGAUGGGGAAAAGGCAGGUUGAAGUGAUCAGUGUGGUGUAUUUAAUUGGCCUCAAUUUGUGCUCCGAGGGCUGGUGAUGAGCACAGACAUCUUAGAACGGGUCCGAAUUCACAGUUCGAAAUAACAGUUGGUGCUGAUGGGUUGAAAUGUCUAAAAUACAUGGAAGAUGUGUUCAAAACAGAGAUGGCUUAAAACAUCGACAGCGUGAACGAAAAUGCGUCAAAGUGGGCCAGAACUUGGAAGUCCAGAGAGGUGCCUUUUUCGCCUUUAUGAAAAGUACAUGUCACUCAGGAGGGACUGUCGGACGACUCUGUAAAGUGACAGGCUUUAGUGGUGGCUAUUCCAACCACUCGCUGAGGGCCACCACUGCAACGUGUCUGUAUGAAUCUGGCCUAGACGAACAGCUUAUCGCUGAGGGGACAGGGCACAUUGCAAGUCUCUGGCAAUACGGAGCUACAUGAGGACAUCUGCGGCGACGGAAACGCGUAUUGACAACACCAUUCGGAGGGAAUCCAGUAAACCUACAUCCCCCCCAACUGUGUCGACAGUAAUCAGAUCUACGUCAACGGCAUCAACUGCAUCAACUUUGACCAGUACCAAAGAGACUGAUGGCAGAGCUUCGAGGAAUGGACGCGAUUUUAAUUUGGAUCUAAGGGAUGGCGUUGUUUUGUCUCUAACAUUCUGAGAAUAAACGU